CGAAGGGGGCUAGCGUUGUUCGGAAUUACUGGGCGUAAAGCGCGCGCAGGCGGUCUUCCAAGUCAGUGGUGAAAGCCCGGAGCUCAACUCCGGAAAUGCCAUUGAAACUGUGAGACUGGAGUACGAGAGAGGUGAGUGGAAUUCCCAGUGUAGAGGUGAAAUUCGUAGAUAUUGGGAAGAACACCGGUGGCGAAGGCGGCUCACUGGCUCGUAACUGACGCUCAGGCGCGACAGCGUGGGGAUCAAACAGGAUUAGAUACCCUGGUAGUCCACGCCGUAAACGAUGAAUGCUAGCCGUUGGAUAGCUUGCUAUUCAGUGGCGCAGCUAACGCAUUAAGCAUUCCGCCUGGGGAGUACGGCCGCAAGGUUG
rnacentral:rRNA from 1 species